rnacentral:rRNA from 1 species
GACGAACCGUGCGAACGUUGUUCGGAUUCACUGGGCUUAAAGGGCGCGUAGGCGGGCGAUCAAGUCAGGGGUGAAAUCUUUCGGCCCAACCGGAAAGGGCCCCUGAUACUGGCCGUCUCGAGGGGGGUAGGGGCAUGCGGAACUUCCGGUGGAGCGGUGAAAUGCGUAGAUAUCGGAAGGAACGCCGGUGGCGAAAGCGGCGUGCUGGACCCCUUCUGACGCUGAGGCGCGAAAGCCAGGGGAGCAAACGGG